rnacentral:rRNA from 1 species
UAGCAAUACGGCAGCGGCAGACGGGAGAGUAACACGUGGGAACGCGCCCUUCGGUUCGGGAUAACCCAGGGAAACUUGGGCUAAUACCGGAUACGCCCUUACGGGGAAAGAUUUAUUGCCGAAGGAACGGCCCGCGUCCGAUUAGCUAGUUGGUGAGGUAACGGCUCACCAAGGCGACGAUCGGUAGCUGGUCUGAGAGGAUGACCAGCCUCACUGGGACUGAAACACGGGCCAGACUCCUACGGGAGGCAGCAGUGGGGAAUCUUGCACAAUGGGGGCAACCCUGAUGCAGCGACGCCGCGUGAGCGAUGAAGCCCUUCGGG